rnacentral:rRNA from 1 species
AUGGAAUUGCAGAAGGAUCAGAGGCAUCCUCUUUUGUCCAACAGAACUGAUGGCACCAACAACAUGAGCCCCACGCAGAAAGCAAUCGGACAGGCAUACCAGAGCACCGGGCACCUCGCCAAACUCCUUCCAUCAGGCACCGUGCUUGCCUUCCAGCUGCUGGCUCCAACCAUGGCUAAGCACGGCCACUGUGGUGACUUGGAUCGAAUGAUGACGGGAGGGCUCGUGGUGCUCUGUGCACUCUCAUGCUUUGUUCUUAGCUUCACAGAUAGCUUCAGGGAUGAGAACGGAAAGGUACGAUACGGGUUUGCCACGUUCAAGGGAUUGUGGGUCAUCGAUGGUGGAGUUACUCUUGAUCCACACGCUGCAGUUGAAUAUAAGAUACAAUUUCUAGACUUUUUCCAUGCAACUGUCUCAGCAACGAUCUUUGUUGCAAUCGCCCUGUUUGACCAGAAUGUGGCAUCUUGCUUUUAUCCAAUACCAUCAGAGGACACAAAGCAAGUUCUCACAACAGUGCCAGUUGCUAUUGGAGUUAUUGGAAGCAUGCUGUUCGUUAGCUUCCCAACCACCCGCCAUGGCAUUGCUUCCCAGUCACUCCACAAUAGUUGGGUCUUCAAAAGAUUUGUUCGCUCUAGUUCCUGUUGA